rnacentral:rRNA from 1 species
GACAGAGGUGCCGAGCGUUAGGCGGAAUCACUGGGCUUAAAGCGUGUGUAGGCGGGCCGCAUAGUGCCUUGUGAAAUCCCCCGGCUCAACCGGGGAACGGCUGGGCAGACUGGCGGCCUUGGGCCAACCAGGGGUCAUCGGAACAAGCGGUGGAGCGGUGAAAUGCGUAGAUAUCGCUUGGAACGCCCGCGGCGAAAGCGGAUGACUGGGGUUGUGCCGACGCUGAGACACGAAAGCCAGGGGAGCGAACGGG